AAUAGACGGCCAAGACUCUUGUGUACAUGUGCCCGUACAUAACUGAGCAGUUUGGGUGCUUCGUGAUAUUCAUGUAUGCAUGCCUUUACUGUCGCUGUUAGCAAAACCAACACAAUCUAAAGAUAAGGCGCACAAAGGCCGGCUGAAUCGCUACAAAACGAUCUUCCGUACGGGCAGAGAAAACAUUGUCUAUUGAUAGUCGCAUUCUGAGCGCGCGGCUUCCACAUCGGCCAUUACGUUUCUCUACUCCACAAGUUACGGACUCUAUUUGGAGAAAACGAAAUCUAAUUAUUAAAGAAAAAGGAUGUUUGAGGACGAUUAUAAGAGGUCUUACAGAAUUACCAAUUUAGUGCAAUUUGAUAGAGGAUGUUGCACCACAGAGCUAGACCUAAUUCUUGGCAUAAAAACCAUGCUUAUUAAUCAUGAUAUUAUUCAUGAAUUAGCUCGCAGGUAGAUAUUUGAGUUUUAGAAGCUUCAUGUGACUCCUUUUCAAACCAAAAGAAAGGAAGGAAGAGGCAACUGAAAUUCAGGAUAUCCCUGCCCACUUAUUUGAUAGCUUUGCUGUCUGUCUGUCUGUCUGUCUGUCUGUCUGUCGGUCGGUCUGUCGGUUGGUCUGUCUGAGUGAAGGAACAAAGAUUUCUUUCUAUGAUCCACAUUACAGAUGUUUAAAUAAAACUACAAAGAAAAUCAAACUAA
rnacentral:lncRNA from 1 species